ACGAACGCUGGCGGCGUGCCUAACACAUGCAAGUCGAGCGAGGAGAUCCUUCGGGAUGAUCCUAGUGGCGGACGGGUGAGUAACACGUGGGCAACCUGCCUCAUAGAGAGGAAUAGCCUUCCGAAAGGGAGAUUAAUACCUCAUAACAUUGCAGUUUCGCAUGGAACAGCAACUAAAGGAGCAAUCCGCUAUGAGAUGGGCCCGCGGCGCAUUAGCUAGUUGGUGAGGUAACGGCUCACCAAGGCGACGAUGCGUAGCCGACCUGAGAGGGUGAUCGGCCACAUUGGGACUGAGACACGGCCCAGACUCCUACGGGAGGCAGCAGUGGGGAAUAUUGCACAAUGGGGGAAACCCUGAUGCAAGCAACGCCGCGUGAGUGAUGACGGCCUUCGGGUCGUAAAGCUCUGUCUUCAGGGACGAUAAUGACGGUACCUGAGGAGGAAGCCACGGCUAACUACGUGCCAGCCGCUGC
rnacentral:rRNA from 1 species